rnacentral:rRNA from 1 species
AACGAACGCUGGCGGCAGGCUUAACACAUGCAAGUCGAGCGCCCCGCAAGGGGAGCGGCAGACGGGUGAGUAACGCGUGGGAAUCUACCCAUCUCUACGGAAUAACGCAUGGAAACGUGUGCUAAUAACGUAUACGUCCUUCGGGAGAAAGAUUUAUCGGAGAUGGAUGAGCCCGCGUUGGAUUAGCUAGUUGGUGGGGUAAAGGCCUACCAAGGCGACGAUCGAUAUCUGGUCUGAGAGGAUGAUCAGCCACACUGGGACUGAGACACUGCCCAGACUCCUACGGGAGGCAGCAGUGGGGAAUAUUGGACAAUGGGCGCAAGCCUGAUCCAGCCAUGCCGCGUGAGUGAUGAAGGCCCUAGGGUUGUAAAGCUCUUUCACCGGUGAAGAUAAUGACGGUAACCGGAGAAGAAGCCCCGGCUAACUUCGUGCCAGCCGCCGCAGUAACAC